UCUGACAAGUUCAGCUUGUGAUCCCUGUGGGCAUAGCUGAACAGAGAGAUCCAUAGUGGAUUACAAUAAGUGGAGAGGCCCUGUAGCUGGAGUGUGCCUGCAGAAUUUCUAAGAAGGCCAGCAUGCCUGCAGCAUAGAAAGCAAUGGAGAAGGGAAAUGGAGGAUGAAGUCAGAAUGGCGACGAGGGACCAGAUGGUGGAGGCUUUCAGGUCAUUAAGGGCUUUACUUAUUUUGAAUGACGUUUAUUUUGACAACAAUUAAUGGGUUUUGAGCAGAGGAGCAAGAAGACACGACUUACAUUUUAUCGGGAUCAUUUCAGCAUUCUUGAAUAAGUUGAAAAGAGAAAUCAUUUAGAAAACAUCUGCACCUAUCCAGCAUCAAGAAACAAAUGACGAUUUUCAAUACUCGGAGUAUACUGGCAGAGGAAUCCUGAAUCAACUGGCAUAGGUCUGCCACUGAUGCAGGAAGUUGAACCUGGCAGCUGCAGCCAAUCAGAGCUGAAGAACAGUCAAGUCAAGCAAACAUGAUCGCUGGAGAUGCAGCAACUAUCUUGGACAACAAGGUGACAAGAAGCUUAAUUUGACAACAAUACAAAAAGAUAGUAUCCUGUGUCCCUGAUGACACCAAGAGGGUGCAUAAUAUUUUCCUGCAGAUGUGGAACUUACAUAUAUGGAGACCCAAUGGAAACCUCCUGGGUUUUCUAUGCAGACAAUUAUGUCUGCAAAUAAUGAGUUUUCUAAACAAAUUCCUUUCUGAUUUUUUUUUUGCUUGUCUUAUUACAUUGCCUAGGAAUAACAUUAUUAUAAUGAGUAGAACUAGUGAUAACAGUCUUUUGUCUUUUUUGUGCAUUUAAUGCAAAUGCUCAUCUUUACUAUUAAGUGUGCUAACAGCUGAAGUUAUCAGGUUAAUAUACUUCACCAGGUUAAGAAGGUUUGUUUCUAUUUCUGUUUUGUUAAACUACAAAAAAAAUCAUAAAUGAAAAUUAACUUUUCCUCUUGAUUUAUCACAUUUAUUUAAAUAAACACAGUUAUGAUUUCUCUUUUAAUCUACUAAAAUGUUGGAGUCUUCUCUAAUGUUGACCCAUCAUUACAUAUCUAAGAUGUCUGAGAAAUACACAUUUGAGGUAAAUUCUACUUGUUUAUGGUUUUGUAACCAUACCAGACAAACCUGUUUCAACUUUUAUGUAAGAAAGUUGUGAGUUUUUCAGUUGCUAUGGACCCCCACACAUUGACAGUCACAUAACCUGAGCAUGCCCAGUUGAACCAACUAUGCAACCACAGUUGGAACUUAAGUGCUCAGACCAAGAAACAGGGACUUAAUUAAGACAUGGAUACCACAUGGAACAAUCCAGGAUCCAAUCAGAUCAAGACUUGGUGUCACCUUAUAGCAGGAUCCUGUCAGAUCAAGAGAUCCAUGCCUAGUGGAAUCAUCUGAUUUAAAAAUCCAAUCAAAUCACACCUCAUUACUCUAUAGCUAUAAGACCUGCCCCAGCUCUCCAGCUCAAGGAAAUGGAUUUGAGCCUUUCCUCCUAUCUUCUUGCCAGUCAGCUUGCAGAGAACCUUUUCUUUUCUCCAAAGCCAGUGCCAUGACAUUGGCUUGUAUGGGUAUCAGGCAGUGAGCCCACUGAUUGUUUGGUAAAAAAUUUUAAGUGACAUUUAAAAUUUUAAAUAAAAUGUGAAUUUUGACUUGCUGACACUUAUCUUGGGAGUUCUCCAUGAACGUUCAUAAUUCUGAUUGACCUAUAAUUUUGUCUUAUUGAACUGCCCUUGCCUUAGUCUGGUAUUGAUAUUUUAAUAUUCUCUCAAAGACCUGAGAAGCUUUUCCUAUUUCUUUACUUUCUGAAGCAGUUUAUAAAAUAAGUGGAUUAUAUUUUUCAUCACGUGUAGAAAAUAAAAAAUUCUUGGCCCUAGUAUCUUAACAUUUUUCUAAUAAAAAUUAAUUUUUAUUAUAAAAAUUAAAAUUUGUUAUUAAAAAUUUAA
rnacentral:lncRNA from 1 species